ACGGUGACCCCAUCGAACUUGAUGAGAACGAUGAGGAUCUGAUCAUCUAUAUGGAGGCCAUGCAAAGGCCUGACUCUCAAAAAUGGCUUGACGUUAUGAAAUUCGGGAUGGAGUCCAUGGAGAUCAAUGGUGUAUAGACACUAGUUUGAUCCACCCGAAGGGAUAAAAUCAUAAGGUGUAAAUAAAUUUUUUAGAGAAAAAGAAGAG
rnacentral:lncRNA from 1 species